rnacentral:rRNA from 1 species
UCGUGGAUCAGUGGCGAACGGGUGAGUAACACGUGAGUAACCUGCCCUCCACUCUGGGAUAAGCGCUGGAAACGGCGUCUAAUACUGGAUACGACCGACCCUCGAAUGGGGUGUUGGUGGAAAGAUUUAUCGGUGGAGGAUGGACUCGCGGCCUAUCAGCUUGUUGGUGGGGUAAUGGCCUACCAAGGCGACGACGGGUAGCCGGCCUGAGAGGGC